rnacentral:lncRNA from 1 species
UUUGCCCUCUCUAAAGCUCCCAGAGCUCAUUUUCUCCGUUCUCUCAUCCAAUCUUUUGCCUGCACUUACGUUUCUCUAUGGCAACACUCACAUUUAUCAAAGUAUAUAUAUCUCUCUUUAUAUUUUCUUAGCUUCUACUCUUCACUACCUAUCCUUUUUAUUUACUUUUCUUUCCACAGUCGUUUGAUCUUCCUUGAUGGUUUCUACAAUGCUCUCAACAACAAACCAACUUCUUCUCAAACCCUUUUUCAUCAGUAUCNGGCUUUAACGUUUGAUGUCACUGAUGAGUAAGUGCUGCAUUAUUCAUCACCAUCAUGCAUAAUCUUUCUUUCUGGAAAACCCUUUUACCUUUUCCUUUUUUACCGUUUUAGGUGUGUUCCUGGUUUUGCUUUCAAGAAUCAACUUCCCUACAUACAACUCAAACUCUCGGAUCUCCUACCACUCACAUCCACCCAAAUUCAAGCACAAUUCUUUCAAGUAAUUAAUCAUUUUACAAAUUAUAUAU